rnacentral:rRNA from 1 species
UGGGGGAUAUUGCACAAUGGGCGAAAGCCUGAUGCAGCGACGCCGCGUGGGGGAUGAAGGCCUUCGGGUUGUAAACUUCUUUUGCUCUGAACAAGGCAUGCUAAUGGGUGUGUUGAGUGUAGGGGUUGAUUAGCGCCGGCUAACUACGUGCCAGCAGCCGCGGUAAUACGUAGGGCGCGAGCGUUGUCCGGAAUUAUUGGGCGUAAAGGGCUUGUAGGUGGCUGGUUGCGUCUGUCGUGAAAGCUCAUGGCUUAACUGUGGGUUUGCGGUGGGUACGGGCUGGCUGGAGUGCAGUAGGGGAGGCUGGAAUGCCUGGUGUAGCGGUGGAAUGCGCAGAUAUCAGGAGGAAUACCGGUGGCGAAGGCGGGUCUCUGGGCUGUUACUGACACUGAGGAGCGAAAGCAUGGGGAGCGAACAGG